rnacentral:rRNA from 1 species
AUGGAAUACGAAGAAUGGGCUGAGUAUGUUGCUGUUCGGGCAAAUGCUCCCAAGCCUGGCACACGGAAGCCCUCCUACAUGCCUCCUCCACCUCCAAAUCAGCCUCCUGGUGAUGCUCGCCGCAUUUCUUUUGAGCCUCCUCCGCCUCUAGGUCGCGAAAUCAAGGAUUUCACCUUAGUCUCUAAACUUGCCUACCUUAAGUUUCGUCACGAUGUUGACCAGUUCUCUGUCGAGCAUGACUUGAGGGAUCCUCACUUUCGUACCAAUGUUCAGGCAGACAUUUUUACUAUAGUCAUUGUUCCUAAGGGGUUGUCUGCCCAUCUCUAUGUUGACUUAGAGCAUAUCCGUUCUCAUCCCGUGAAAUAUUCGGGAGCCAUUGAACUCAUUGAGUCCUCUGGUCUUGCUGCUCCAUUUGCUUUUCACCAUGAUUACAAUCACGCUGUUAUUCAUCAGUUUUAUGCCACGUGUUUCUUUGGUCCUGACAAGAUCGUCACCUGGAUGACUUCUGACACCAAGCUCACCGCCUCUUAUACUCAGUUUGUUGCGGCUCUUGGGUUUCCUGACACUGGUUUCAAAAUUCAUAAAUCUGACCCACUCCCAAAAAACAUUGAGGCCUGUGGCUAUCUUCUCAAACCUAUUUCUGAGCUUGAUGAAGUGGAAAAGGGAAAAGAUCUCAAUCAAGUAUCUAUUUGGCGAUCUCCCUUUUUCAUUAUCUAUCACCGUGUCAUCUGCACCAUCUAUCCCAAGAUGGGUGACAAAGGUUCCUGUAACGGGUAUUGUAUUGAUCUCAUGUAUCAUCUCUAUGAACAUCCCAACGGAAAGAUCAAUGUUCCUCACUUCAUGUGGCAUGAGAUUCGUCUUGCUAGUCUUCAAUACAGGAGGGCCUUUCCUCAUGCUCCUUUUCUUCAAGCCUUUAUUGAGAGUAUUGCUCCUUUUCCCAUUGCUCGGACUCAUGUUCAUCCGCGGUGGGUCAUUCCACCCCAUAUGGCGAAUGAUUGGGCUCCCAAGAAAUCCUCAACUGCUCAACGGUCUGCUGCUCAGUCUCGUCCUACUCCCCCUAGCUCGGGGUCUUUCGGCCGCAUUGCUCGCUUUCUCGGGAAGGCCCAUUCAGCCAUGAUGAAGGCCGUCUCCUUCUACUGUUCUAAAAAUCAUGAUGUGGUCACUCGCAUGGUCUCUUAUAAGAAUGCUCUGAAGGCUCGUCUGAGAGCCUCCAGAGCCACAGAUGUGAGUGAGGAUGAGCGUCUUCCUGAUGCUCCUCCUUCCGACUUUGGCUUCCCUUCUGGUCCUGAAUGGGCAGAUUUCUUUGACGAGGCAGGAGGCAGUGCUGCCCAUGGCGACGACGAUGACGGUGAUGGUCUCUGA